rnacentral:lncRNA from 1 species
UUUUAUAGUUCCAACAUCAAAGACUCUCAUAAUGACUAAAUCUUUUCAUUUUGGAAUUUUAUGCAUUGCUUUGGUACUGGCUUCAUGUAAGAAACAUAAGUAGUUACACCCCUAAAGUUCUAUUUACAAUUAUUUAAAUGCAGUAUUAAACAUUAUUUAUUUCUUUUAUUGAAUUUUCAUUGUAUGGGUCUAGUACAUUAUUUGCAGCUUAAAGUGUGUUGUGUGUUAAUAUUUUCAUAAAACAAAGCAUAUAGAAUUUUGAAUUUGUGAUGUUUUUUCUUACAGCAGGAGCGGCAUUAGCAGGACCAACAAUAGAUUUGAAGACUAUUGAACUUGAUUGUAAUGGACAUGGAUUAUGUGAAACAUGCGAUAAUACAUGCCUUCAUGAAGGCUUUACAAGAGGUGGUGGAUGUUAUGGAUUUGCUCAAUGUUGUUGUGUGAAGAAUUGAGUUAAAAAGCCAAAUUUAAAUUAAUCAUAUGCAUGUCUUAAUGUCUUUAGUUUUUUACUUGUAACGGGAAUUAUUAAAAAUGC